UACGAAGGAUCCAAGCGUUGUCCGGAUUUACUGGGUUUAAAGGGUGCGUAGGUGGGAAAUUAAGUCAGUGGUGAAAGCUGGUAGCUUAACUAUCAAAUUGCCAUUGAAACUGAUUUUCUCGAGUACGGUUGAGGUAGCUGGAAUGUAACAUGUAGCGGUGAAAUGCUUAGAUAUGUUACAGAACACCAAUUGCGAAGGCAGGCUACUAAACCGUAACUGACACUGAGGCACGAAAGCGUGGGGAGCGAACAGG
rnacentral:rRNA from 1 species